rnacentral:RNase_P_RNA from 2 species
UGGGAUGGACUAAAGGUCGCCUCAUAUUCAUUAUGGGGAGGAAAGUCCGAGCUCUCUCUUAAUGAGCAAUCAUUAAGAAAAAUGAUAGUGGGUAAUGCCCAUCUGCCUUAAAAGGCAAGAGGUGCGAACAGAGACGUUUUGGCUUGAAAGAGCCAGAAGUUCCUUCAGUGAAAGAAGGAAUCAGUUGCUUUAUAAGAUAGCUUAACGGUUAUCAAAGAGGCAGGUGAAACGGCUAAAUCCUUAUCUGUGAGCAAGUCCGAAAAUGGUUGAAUAAACCGUUAAAAUGGACGCAUAAAUCCGGCGGUAACGCAGGAUUCAGAGAAAUGACCUUUGCUCCUAACGGAGUUACAGAACUCGGCUUAUAGUUCAUCCCAGAAA